GACGAACGCUGGCGGCGUGCUUAACACAUGCAAGUCGAACGGAAAGGCCCUGCUUUUGUGGGGUGCUCGAGUGGCGAACGGGUGAGUAACACGUGAGUAACCUGCCCUUGACUUUGGGAUAACUUCAGGAAACUGGGGCUAAUACCGGAUAGGAGCUCCUGCUGCAUGGUGGGGGUUGGAAAGUUUCGGCGGUUGGGGAUGGACUCGCGGCUUAUCAGCUUGUUGGUGGGGUAGUGGCUUACCAAGGCUUUGACGGGUAGCCGGCCUGAGAGGGUGACCGGCCACAUUGGGACUGAGGUACGGCCCAGACUCCUACGGGAGGCAGCAGUGGGGAAUAUUGCACAAUGGGCGGAAGCCUGAUGCAGCAACGCCGCGUGCGGGAUGACGGCCUUCGGGUUGUAAACCGCUUUCGCCUGGGACGAAGCGUGAGUGACGGUAAUGGGUAAAGAAGCACCGGCUAACUACGUG
rnacentral:rRNA from 1 species